UACGAAGGGGGGCUAGCGUUACUCGGAAUUACUGGGCGUAAAGGGCGCGUAGGCGGCGCUCCAAGUUAGGCGUGAAAGUCCUGGGCUCAACCUGGGAACUGCGCUUAAGACUGGAGUGCUUGAGGAUGGAAGAGGGUCGUGGAAUUCCCAGUGUAGAGGUGAAAUUCGUAGAUAUUGGGAAGAACACCGGUGGCGAAGGCGGCGACCUGGUCCAUUACUGACGCUGAGGCGCGAUAGCGUGGGGAGCAAACAGG
rnacentral:rRNA from 1 species